rnacentral:rRNA from 1 species
GACGAACGCUGGCGGCGUGCUUAACACAUGCAAGUCGAGCGGUAAGGCCCUUUCGGGGGUACGACGAGCGGCGAACGGGUGAGUAACACGUGGGUGACCUGCCCUCAGCUCUGGGAUAAGCCUGGGAAACUGGGUCUAAUACCGGAUAUGACUCCAUGACGCAUGUUGUGGGGUGGAAAGCCUUGUGCGGCUGAGGAUGGGCCCGCGGCCUAUCAGCUUGUUGGUGGGGUGAGGCCUACCAAGGCGACGACGGGUAGCCGGCCUGAGAGGGCGACCGGCCACACUGGGACUGAGACACGGCCCAGACUCCUACGGGAGGCAGCAGUGGGGAAUCUUGCGCAAUGGGCGAAAGCCUGACGCAGCGACGCCGCGUGAGGGAUGACGGCCU